rnacentral:rRNA from 1 species
CGGCUUACCAACCCGAUGCAAACUGCGAAUACCGGAGAAUGUUAUCACGGGAGACACACGGCGGGUGCUAACGUCCGUCGUGAAGAGGGAAACAACCCAGACCGCCAGCUAAGGUCCCAAAGUCAUGGUUAAGUGGGAAACGAUGUGGGAAGGCCCAGACAGCCAGGAUGUUGGCUUAGAAGCAGCCAUCAUUUAAAGAAAGCGUAAUAGCUCACUGGUCGAGUCGGCCUGCGCGGAAGAUGUAACGGGGCUAAACCAUGCACCGAAGCUGCGGCAGCGACACUGUGUGUUGUUGGGUAGGGGAGCGUUCUGUAAGCCUGUGAAGGUGUGUCGUGAGGCAUGCUGGAGGUAUCAGAAGUGCGAAUGCUGACAUAAGUAACGAUAAAGCGGGUGAAAAGCCCGCUCGCCGGAAGACCAAGGGUUCCUGUCCAACGUUAAUCGGGGCAGGGUGAGUCGACCCCUAAGGCGAGGCCGAAAGGCGUAGUCGAUGGGAAACGGGUUAAUAUUCCCGUACUUGGUGUUACUGCGAAGGGGGGACGGAGAAGGCUAUGUUGGCCGGGCGACGGUUGUCCCGGUUUAAGCGUGUAGGUGUGUGUUCCAGGUAAAUCCGGUUCACUUUAACACUGAGGCGUGACGACGAGGCACUACGGUGCUGAAGCAACAAAUGCCCUGCUUCCAGGAAAAGCCUCUAAGCAUCAGGUAACAUCAAAUCGUACCCCAAACCGACACAGGUGGUCAGGUAGAGAAUACCAAGGCGCUUGAGAGAACUCGGGUGAAGGAACUAGGCAAAAUGGUGCCGUAACUUCGGGAGAAGGCACGCUGACACGUAGGUGAAGUGAUUUACUCAUGGAGCUGAAGUCAGUCGAAGAUACCAGCUGGCUGCAACUGUUUAUUAAAAACACAGCACUGUGCAAACACGAAAGUGGACGUAUACGGUGUGACGCCUGCCCGGUGCCGGAAGGUUAAUUGAUGGGGUCAGCGCAAGCGAAGCUCCUGAUCGAAGCCCCGGUAAACGGCGGCCGUAACUAUAACGGUCCUAAGGUAGCGAAAUUCCUUGUCGGGUAAGUUCCGACCUGCACGAAUGGCGUAAUGAUGGCCAGGCUGUCUCCACCCGAGACUCAGUGAAAUUGAACUCGCUGUGAAGAUGCAGUGUACCCGCGGCAAGACGGAAAGACCCCGUGAACCUUUACUAUAGCUUGACACUGAACAUUGAGCCUUGAUGUGUAG